ACGCGAAGAACCUUACCUACCUUGACAUCCCGACUGGAGAGUCCUGGGGUGCCCGAAAGGGAACGGGGAACAGUCGCAUGGCUGUCGUCAGCUCGUGUCGUAGAUGUUGGUUAAGUCCGCAACGAGCGCACCCCUGCCUUAGUUCCAGCGGCUUGGCCGGGCACUCUAAGGGCCCGGUGCGAACCGGAGGAAGGUGGGGACGCCAAUCCAUGGCCCUAUGGGUAGGGCUUCACACGUCAUACAAUGGCGCGUACAGAGGGUUGCGAAGCCGCGAGGCGGAGCCAAUCCCAGAAAGCGGUGUAGUCCGGAUUGCAGUCUGCAACUCGACUGCAUGAAGUCGGAAUCGCUAGUAAUCUUGAUCAGCAUGC
rnacentral:rRNA from 1 species